rnacentral:rRNA from 1 species
UACGAAGGGUGCAACGUUGCUCGGAAUUAUUGGGCGUAAAGCGCACGUAGGCGGCUUAGCAAGUCGGAUGUGAAAGCCCUCGGCUCAACCAAGGAAGUGCAUCCGAAACUGCUGAGCUUGAGUACUUAAGAGGAUCGCGGAAUUCCCGGUGUAGAGGUGAAAUUCGUAGAUAUCGGGAGGAACACCAAUAGCGAAGGCAGCUCGCUGGGACGUUACUGACACUGAGGCGCGAAAGCGUGGGGAGCGAACAGG